CGGUACCCGACCGCUGAGGAGGCGAAAGCUUAGGGGAGCAAACAGGAUUAGAUACCCCUGGGUAGUCCCUAGCCCGUAGACGUUGGGGCACUAGGGUGUGGGCGGAAUCCAUUGACGUCUGCCCGUGCCCGUAGCUAACCGCAUUUAAGUGCCCCGCCUGGGGAGUACCGGUCGCAAGGCUAAAACUCCAAAGGAAUUGACGGGGGCCCGCACAAGGCGGCGGAGCCAUGCGGCUUAAUUCGAUGCAACCCGAAGAACCUUACCUGGACUUGACAUCCAUGGGAAAAGCCGUGGAAACACGGUGUGCUUAGCGUCCCAUGACAGGUGGUGCAUGGCUGUCGUCAGCUCGUGUCGUGAGAUGUUGGGUUAAGUCCCCGCAACGAGCGCAACCCUUGUCCUAUGUUGCCAGCGGGUUAUGCCCGGGGACUCAUAGGAGACUGCCCGGGGACAACUCGGAGGAAGGCGGGGACGACGUCCAAGUCAUCCAUGCCCCUUAUGUCCAGGGCUGCACGCAUGCUACCAAUGGCGGAUACAACGGGCUGCGAUCCCGCGAGGGU
rnacentral:rRNA from 1 species